GAUGAACGCUGGCGGCGUGCCUAAUACAUGCAAGUCGAGCGAACAGACGAGGAGCUUGCUCCUCUGACGUUAGCGGCGGACGGGUGAGUAACACGUGGAUAACCUACCUAUAAGACUGGGAUAACUUCGGGAAACCGGAGCUAAUACCGGAUAACAUGUUGAACCGCAUGGUUCAACAGUGAAAGACGGUCUUGCUGUCACUUAUAGAUGGAUCCGCGCCGCAUUAGCUAGUUGGUAAGGUAACGGCUUACCAAGGCAACGAUGCGUAGCCGACCUGAGAGGGGGAUCGGCCACACUGGAACUGAGACACGGUCCAGACUCCUACGGGAGGCAGCAGUAGGGAAUCUUCCGCAAUGGGCGAAAGCCUGACGGAGCAACGCCGCGUGAGUGAAGAAGGUCUUCGGAUCGUAAAACUCUGUUAUUAGGGAAGAACAAAUGUGUAAGUAACGAUGCACGUCUUGACGGUACCUAAACAGAAAGCCACGGCUAACUACGU
rnacentral:rRNA from 1 species